rnacentral:rRNA from 1 species
GAUGAACGCUGGCGGCGUGCCUAAUACAUGCAAGUCGAGCGAACGGACGAGAAGCUUGCUUCUCUGAUGUUAGCGGCGGACGGGUGAGUAACACGUGGAUAACCUACCUAUAAGACUGGGAUAACUUCGGGAAACCGGAGCUAAUACCGGAUAAUAUUUUGAACCGCAUGGUUCAAAAGUGAAAGACGGUCUUGCUGUCACUUAUAGAUGGAUCCGCGCUGCAUUAGCUAGUUGGUAAGGUAACGGCUUACCAAAGCAACGAUGCAUAGCCGACCUGAGAGGGUGAUCGGCCACACUGGAACUGAGACACGGUCCAGACUCCUACGGGAGGCAGCAGUAGGGAAUCUUCCGCAAUGGGCGAAAGCCGGACGGAGCAACGCCGCGUGAGUGAUGAAGGUCUUCGGAUCGUAAAACUCUGUUAUUAGGGAAGAACAUAUGUGUAAGUAACUGUGCACAUCUUGACGGUACCUAAUCAGAAAGCCACGGCUAACUACGUGCCAGCAGCCGCGGUAAUACGUAGGUGGCAAGCGUUAUCCGGAAUUAUUGGGCGUAAAGCGCGCGUAGGCGGUUUUUUAAGUCUGAUGUGAAAGCCCACGGCUCAACCGUGGAGGGUCAUUGGAAACUGGAAAACUUGAGUGCAGAAGAGGAAAGUGGAAUUCCAUGUGUAGCGGUGAAAUGCGCAGAGAUAUGGAGGAACACCAGUGGCGAAGGCGACUUUCUGGUCUGUAACUGACGCUGAUGUGCGAAAGCGUGGGGAUCAAACAGGAUUAGAUACCCUGGUAGUCCACGCCGUAAACGAUGAGUGCUAAGUGUUAGGGGGUUUCCGCCCCUUAGUGCUGCAGCUAACGCAUUAAGCACUCCGCCUGGGGAGUACGACCGCAAGGUUGAAACUCAAAGGAAUUGACGGGGACCCGCACAAGCGGUGGAGCAUGUGGUUUAAUUCGAAGCAACGCGAAGAACCUUACCAAAUCUUGACAUCCUUUGACAACUCUAGAGAUAGAGCCUUCCCCUUCGGGGGACAAAGUGACAGGUGGUGCAUGGUUGUCGUCAGCUCGUGUCGUGAGAUGUUGGGUUAAGUCCCGCAACGAGCGCAACCCUUAAGCUUAGUUGCCAUCAUUAAGUUGGGCACUCUAAGUUGACUGCCGGUGACAAACCGGAGGAAGGUGGGGAUGACGUCAAAUCAUCAUGCCCCUUAUGAUUUGGGCUACACACGUGCUACAAUGGACAAUACAAAGGGCAGCGAAACCGCGAGGUCAAGCAAAUCCCAUAAAGUUGUUCUCAGUUCGGAUUGUAGUCUGCAACUCGACUACAUGAAGCUGGAAUCGCUAGUAAUCGUAGAUCAGCAUGCUACGGUGAAUACGUUCCCGGGUC